rnacentral:tRNA from 1 species
GCCUGGCUGGCUCAGUUGGUAGAGCAUGAGACUCUUGAUCUCAGGGUCGUGAGUUCAAGCCCCACAUUGGGUG